UCAGAUUCACAUCAACAUCAGUAACAGAUGAAGUACCAGUCCCUGAUGAUACUUUGAUAUUUAGUCAUUUAGAUGCAAGUAUUGUACUACAUCAUGGAAAUGCCAAGGUUAAAAAGACUGUAGGGUUAAGCAAUAAUAACUCAGUGCAAGAUGACCUGCAAUAUGUAAAAAGAAGUAGUCUUACAUGAUGAAGAGGCGUAAAUACUUGUCAUUAACUUAUGUAGUUGUUCGCAAGUGACUUAUUCAAAUGUUACAAAUUAUUCAGAGUUACCGUAAUGAAUUACAGUUAUACACUAUAAAUUUAAAAUGUCCUGCAGACAUCCCUGUACAAUCAGUGUAGUCAAUUAUCCCUUCAUGUCUUGUUUA